CUUUCCUUCCAGUUCUCUGCUGCCAUUGACUGGAACGAAUUGCAAAAAUCGCUGAAGCUGGAGACUUACAUUUCCCUCACUAACUUUAAACAUCAGCUAUCUGAGCAGCUAACCGAUCGCUGCAGCUGUACAUAGUCCAUCUGUAAAUAGCCCACCCAAUCUACCUACCUCAUCCCCAUAUUGUUUUUAUUUACUUUGCUGCGCUUUUGCACACCAGUAUCACUACUUACACACCACCAUCUGCUCAUCAUCAUCUGCUCAUCUAUCACUCCAGUGUUAAUCUGCUAAAUUGUGAAGUACAGUAGAGGAUGUCAGGACAACAAGGCUGGACAAUCAAGGGUGGCUUGACCGGGUGGUUGAUGUACACAGGGACCGAGGAUUCCCCAGGCUGAGUGAUCCAGACCAUGAAAUGGCUGAGCCAGCCAUGAUACUGUUAUAUCGAGAAAACGGUGAGAUGUGACUACAGUGUAAAAAAAUAUAUCCCAAAAUGGGUCCAUGUUUUGUUGUGUUUAUCAUUCAAUGCCCGUUCUGAUAAUGUUUACACAACCAACUACAAUUACAAUCUGAGCAAACAAUGAAAUGGAAAAUAAAUGAUUACUAUAUGUCGUGUCUUUGCUAUGCCGGAUUAAGUGAUAUGACAUGCUAUUCUAUAAAAUCAUUUCUCUGUAAUUAAUAUUACCUGAUUGAACUAAUCAUGUAAAUGUAAUUAACUAGAAAGUCGGGGCACUACGAAAUAAUAUUUAUAGAGCUGUUAUCUUCCGAAUAAACUCUUAAAGACCUGGUAAUCUUUUACCUCAAUAGCAGUCAAUUCUUAAUCGUCACCUUAUUCAGUCUCAUCUGAAGUCGUAGAAUUCUUGGUUAUCUUCACGAACCCUGGCUAACAAGUUGAAUCAGCAAUACAACAUUUGGUUUAAUUAUGUAUUUAAUAAAUACCUAAACAAUCACACAGAAUUACACAGGAUGGGUCAUACAUUGAUUACUAAUUAUGUCAUAAAAGAAAAUGUCCCUAGUGGACGGAACCGAUAUGACGGCUGGUUACACAAAGAAAGGGGGUUGGGUUUUGAAUGAAAGCGUGGGAAGACUGAGAAACAAAGGAAUAAGGGUCUCUGAUCGGACCUUGUGAAGCUAUGCUAUCAUAAAUACAGAAUCUUAUGCAUUCUAAAUAACCACCCAUUUGCAAAAGGAAAAUGCAAGAAAUAUUUACUCUGAGCGGUGCUUCAAUAGGUUGGUCAUAGAUGGAAGGCCGUGUUGCCCAACAGAUCUCCCUUGUCCUUUGAAAAAUAUGUCUUGUGGUAGAACGGAUACGUUGUCGUGUGUUUUGUAGAAGAGAUACUUUGUCCGUCCUUUCCUAGCCCAUGUUUACAGCUGCUGUUGCUCACUCAACGGCUAGGAGGUAUCACUUCUUUAGUGAAUAAGAGUUCAAAGUUCAUACCAAGUUGUGUUUAAUUUUUGUAAAGGGCUUAUGUAGUAGGGAGAGAAGGGCGUGUUUCAUAGUUCACAACCAACGUCUUUUCACAUGGGCCACUGAGUUGAGCCUAGUUCACUUAUGAAAACCAAUUCUCUCAUUUAAAAGCUAAAAUUACAUUUCAUCUGUUCACAAAUAGUUUAAUAUUUAAACGUUUAAAUUGCACAACAAUUCCAUGUGAAUCUGAUAACUAUAAUGUGUCGACUUUCCAAGAUACUGUAAGAUGUUUAUUGAUAUGCGCAAUGUAUUUGGUACAGAAUAUUAAUUAUGCUUUGACCAAGUGACAGCCUUAUUCUAAGGGAACAAUGUGCAAGAACAAUGUUCCUGAAGUUGGCCUAUUGUCAUACGUCGGUGUUUGGAGGGUGGAACUAAACAAGCAUUUCCGCUCUAGGACUAGAAUGACAUGGAAAUAGGGGUGGCAACAUCCUCUGGAGGGGUCCUUUAAGGGGAAUUUAGAUAUUGUAGAUAUUCAACCUUCAUAGUAUGAUCUGUAGUGCUCAAACUAUUGUCAAACUGAAACAUUGCUUUGUAGUGUCAACAGCAACUCUGUCAACAUGCAAUAAUUAUAUUCAACAUCCUCAGCCAAUUAGCAGAUGAUAAUGUUGCAUGUUGCAUGUUACAAUUGACUAAAUGCAACUGACAGGCCAGAUUAAGAUCUCCAGAUCAUCUGGGGGGACUAUACUAUUCUGUUGAAGGAAAUAGCUUUCUCAUAAUGUGUUUUUUCCAGGCAUUCACAAGGAGAUAGUACAUUUCAGAAUGUUCCAUGUGGUUUUUCUCCUUCUCUAAAGUAAUCAGGGAGAUUGCAGCUUCACCACACCUCCACCAUUCACCAUCUAAAAUAUUCAACAACUGGGCGUCUGGAGGGACGAGGAAUCGAAAUGUGUGAAAGCGUAAUGUGGUUAGGAGAAAUUAUGGAGGAGAAAUCAUAUCCUGGUUCUGCUUUCAAUGUAGGAAACACCCGUGGGACGUAUGAAUAAGGAAAUGUGGUGAUUGCUGCUAGUUUUUUCCAGUUUCCACCGUAGUGUACGUUGAUAAAUAGUAAAAAAAAUAAUCCCUGAAUGGCAGGCCGGGCAAUUUACAUUUCAAGGUGUUAAUAACUUUCCAGCAGUUAGGGCUGAAGCUAAGAGCGCUGGGAUUAUAGAGACAUUCAGACGGCACUCUUCAAUUUAACUUGAUCUGUUUCCCUAUAGACGUGCACGAAUGUCUCACAUUUGGCUUCCUAAGCAUGUAGCUUAUAGUGCUUGUUUGUUUUUUAAAAAGUCACUGAACAUGUCGGUUGAUGAGAUUUCAGUCUUGGAGUUGUUUUUCAAAUCAAAUCAAAUCACAUUUUAUUGGUAACAUACACAUAUUUAGCAGAUGCUUUUUUGGGUACAGGAACAAUGGUGGACAGCAGACUGGGAUCGGGAGAGAUUGAAUAUGUCUGUAAACACUCCAGCCAGCUGGUCUGCGCAUACUCUGAGGACGCGGUUAGGGAUGCCGUCUGGGCCGGCAGCAUUGCGAGGGUUAACACAUUUAAAUGUUUUACUCACGUCGGCCAUGGAGAACGAGAGCUCACAGUCCUUGGGAGCGGGCCACGUCGGUGGCACUGUCUUAUCCUCAAAGCGGGCGAAGAAGGUGUUUAGCUUGUCUGGUAGCAAGACGGCGGUGUCCGCGACGUGGCUGGUUUUCCCUUUGUAAUCUGUGAUUGUCUGUAGACCCUGCCACUUACAUCUCGAGUCUGAGCUGUUGAAUUGCAACUCCACUUUGUCUCUGUGCUGAUGUUUUGCCUGUUUGAUUGCCUUACAG
rnacentral:lncRNA from 1 species